rnacentral:rRNA from 1 species
AUUGAACGCUGGCGGCAGGCCUAACACAUGCAAGUCGAGCGGAUGAAGGGAGCUUGCUCCUGGAUUCAGCGGCGGACGGGUGAGUAAUGCCUAGGAAUCUGCCUGGUAGUGGGGGAUAACGUCCGGAAACGGGCGCUAAUACCGCAUCCGUCCUGAGGGUGAAAGUGGGGGAUCUUCGGACCUCACGCUAUCAGAUGAGCCUAGGUCGGAUUAGCUAGUUGGUGGGGUAAAGGCCUACCAAGGCGACGAUCCGUAACUGGUCUGAGAGGAUGAUCAGUCACACUGGAACUGAGACACGGUCCAGACUCCUACGGGAGGCAGCAGUGGGGAAUAUUGGACAAUGGGCGAAAGCCUGAUCCAGCCAUGCCGCGUGUGUGAAGAAGGUCUUCGGAUUGUAAAGCACUUUAAGUUGGGAGGAAGGGCAGUAAGUUAAUACCUUGCUGUUUUGACGUUACCAACAGAAUAAGCACCGGCUAACUUCGUG